rfam:Dipodomys ordii contig_24914, whole genome shotgun sequence.
GGGAAGGUGGCUCUGUGGUAGAGCGCUUGCCUUGUAUGCACGAGGCCCUGGGUUCGAUUCCUCAGCAUCCCA